UGUCUUCUUCACCUUCUUCUUCGCUACAAUAUAUCCAUUUAUUUCCAAUUGUCAAUCCUUUCCUCCGGGCAAUGCCAGGUGGCAGACUAUGCGUACAUGGACCAUUGUCUUCUCAUCACCGGUACUCAGGAUGUGCUUAUCUGCGCAUAUCUCCAGCUCUGCAUAUUCCCCCCUCCCUCCUCCAUAUGUUAAUCCUGUGUAACCCAACCUCUUCUUAAAGUAUUCAUGAUGUAACUGGGAUGUAUUUUGCACUGUAUUCUGGGACAUGGAGGGAAGUUUCAAAAGUUCAUGUCACCCCUUUCUCGCUGUUCAAUCUUGCCUUGAACCUGUUGUGCAAUAAACUUGGAUCUUCUGCAGUUUG